rnacentral:rRNA from 1 species
AGCUCCAAUAGCGUAUAUUAAAGUUGUUGCAGUUAAAAGGCUCGUAGUUGGAUCUCGGGAGCAGGCCGGCGGUCCGCCCCGCGGCGGGUUCUGCCUGUCCCUCCCUCCCCGCCCGGUUUUCCCCCGGGCUCUUCAUUUUGUGGCCCCGGGUGGCCGGAACGUUUACUUUGAAAAAAUUAGAGUGUUCAAAGCAGGCAGUUCGCCUGAAUAAUGGUGCAUGGAAUAAUGGAAUAGGACCUCGGUUCUAUUUUGUUGGUUUUCGGAACUUGAGGUAAUGAUUAAGAGGGACAGACGGGGGCAUUCGUAUUACACUGUUAGAGGUGAAAUUCUUGGAUCGGUGUAAGACGAACUACUGCGAAAGCAUUUGCCAAGAAUGUUUUCA